UGAGGUUUUCACAGUGGGUGCUGGGAAAAAGGCAAAUAUUUUUUCCCAUUGGUUUACCCAGUGAGAUGUGAUACUGGAGCUGUGGCAGCCAUCUUGUGGUCACUAGCUUCAGUCCUUCUGGAUUGGCACUGCUGAUUGUGGCACCUCUUGGGCACAGCAUUUCCUGCCCGGCUCUAUGCCCCUGAGCAGCUCCUAUUGGCUGUCCCUGGUCAGGGUUGCAUGCUGGUCCAAUCAUCCCUGGCGCAAAGGAGAGGCCGUGGACAUGAAAGGAAGGAGCCACUGGGUACAUGUGGUGUCACAGAUGGCCUGCUCUGCACUUCUACUUCUAAAGCACAGAUGGGAAGAAAUGGAUCUUGUCUACGAUCUACCCUGUACCCAACUGGGCACUUACACAGAAGCCUCACUCAUUCAGGACUGCAUUAGAAUUCUCAUGGCUAGGUUGGCCGUCACUUCAUUUUAAAAAAAAAUUAUAUUUUACGACUGCAUUGGCAUAAAGAAUAACAUCUAGGCUGGAUUCAUUGUUACAUAUUGAUUUUUUUAUAUUUAUUUUUUUUUCCUGUUUGUAAAGGAAAAUAACAACACUAUCAUGUAUCCCUAACAGUAUCUGGGCCUCUGGCACUGUGUCUACUAGGCCUAAUGGAAAAGUAGAUCCUGCAUUCACCCAUUCAAUAAAUAUGUAUUGAACAUC